rnacentral:rRNA from 1 species
UACGGGGGGGGCAAGCGUUGUUCGGAAUUACUGGGCGUAAAGGGCUCGUAGGCGGCCAACUAAGUCGGAUGUGAAAUCCCCAGGCUCAACCUGGGAACUGCAUCCGAUACUGGAUGGCUUGAAUUCGGGAGAGGGAUGCAGAAUUCCAGGUGUAGCGGUGAAAUACGUAGAUAUCUGGAGGAAUACCGGUGGCGAAGGCGGCAUCCUGGACCGACAUUGACGCUGAUGAGCGAAAGCUAGGGGAGCAAACGGG